GCAAGUACCAGAACACUGGAAACAAACUGUUCAUUUUCCUCAGGGGCAGCCAAAUACAGAAGGAGCUUUUUAGUCAACUGCUGCGUAGCACAGGUUUUCCUCUUUGAAGACGUUAUAUGUUAUGUAAAGAUAAGGUAAAUAUUAUCAGAAAUACACUAUCAGGAAUGUAUAUACAGGGAAUUGCCUGUACCUGCUAUGGGAUCUGAAAGCACUAAACUAGACCUGAGAGCGCAGGACAUUGGAAUCAGCUUCCAUGUGUGAUAAACCAAGAUAGAUACUAUAUUCCAAUGUGAAAAAAGUAGCAUUUUCACUGCUUCUGUCAGCAUAAUUAAAAAGUAACACCACACAGUGACACGAAGAUAGAAAGGGUCAGCAUGCAGAAAGCAACACAAGUGGCAGCAGCAUGACAGGGUCUAUCCUCCCCUUCAGUACGCACAGCAGAGAAGGAAAAAACAGCUUCUGGGCUGCAGUGCCACGCUGAUUGACUGACACUGCCCACAUGAGUGGAACUGCAACAGACAUUAUAAACAAGACAAAAAUCCUGGCUUGCUUCAUCCCCUCAAAUGUCCUUGACGAACAAUGGCUUCGCAGGCAUGGCUCUCCUGCCACGGCUGUGACUCACUCGCAUUAACACCUGAGCUGAUUUAGGACCACAGUUAUUAUCGACAGGAAGACUUUUGUUGCCAGGUUUCCAUUCCAGCGUCAGGCUAGACUCUGGACACGAGGCAGGCCCAUAUGGGAAGCUGAGCUUUGGCCAAACAAACCUCAAAGAUGAUUGUAACAUGGGCUGAGUUGACAUUCUCAUUUAGCUCCCAAAAGUGGCCCUUAAUUUCCUUGAAGGGGUAACACAGUUGCUAUAAUGCAGAUGUCCAAACCCACUGUUUCCUGACAACAAGAAGUAUGUAGCUAAGCACACAGCACUAGUUUUUUGCAUUUAGACCUGCUAGGUGACAAUAAGAGAUGUGAUGCAGAGUAAAUAGCUUCCUAAUACUUUUUUUGUAGGUAGGCAAGUGUUUCAUCGACACUGCACAAUUACAAUGCAUAUUGAAAAAGACAUGAUGCUCGGAUAAGGCAAUCUUUUUGUUACAGUGCCAUUUGUGCUAUAACGUAUUUGAUAGCUCUGCAAUCACAGGUCUCGGUAAAGAAGAUCCAGUUGCUUCAAAGAAUCAUUUAAGAAAAUGUCUUUGAUGCAUUAACAUGUCACAGAAAUAAAACAAUAGAGCUACUUAUUCCCACUGUUAGCCAAGAUAAGGCUAGGUAUGUGUCCAUAAAGAGGAGCUCCAAUGGUUGGCCCAUCUGCAGUAUUCCAGUCUUACUGUAUGCUGCACAAUAGGCUAGAAACUCUUUAUUAAAAGAAAUAUUUACA